GAAAUUGGGAAAUUUAAUCCCUUGGGCAUCCUCCAUAACCUGAAUCUCCUCCAUAAGAAAGUCUCUUGUUGGAUCACUUUGAGGGCAACUGCGUAGUGUCAUCGAGAAUUGAUUAAGCAUUUCAACCAAUCUGGCAGUGCAAUGCAAUUUUUUAUCAUCUGGAUAUUCAUCAAAUUCUCCUCUCAAAAGGAUUUUUCUAAGGGUCUCUUUGGCAGACCCUAUAAUUCUCA
rnacentral:misc_RNA from 1 species